rnacentral:rRNA from 1 species
AACGAACGCUGGCGGCAUGCCUAACACAUGCAAGUCGAACGAGACCUUCGGGUCUAGUGGCGCACGGGUGCGUGACGCGUGGGAACCUGCCCUUAGGUUCGGAAUAACUCCCCGAAAGGGGUGCUAAUACCGGAUAAUGUCUUCGGACCAAAGAUUUAUCGCCUUUGGAUGGGCCCGCGUUGGAUUAGCUGGUUGGUAGGGUAAAAGCCUACCAAGGCGACGAUCCAUAGCUGGUCUGAGAGGAUGAUCAGCCACACUGGGACAGGGACACGGCCCAGACGCCUACGGGAGGCAGCAGUGGGGAAUAUUGGACAAGGGGCGAAAGCCUGAUCCACCAAUGCCGCGUGAGUGAUGAAGGCCUUAGGGUGGUAAAGCUCUUUUACCCGGGAUGAUAAGGACAGUACCGGGAGAAUAAGCCCCGGCAACCUCCGU